rnacentral:misc_RNA from 1 species
GGCCAAAAGACUCUUUCUUCUUCUCUUUGUUUCUAAUUUAAAUCAGCGCCCUAAUUCCUUUAAAUCCCAACAUCCCUGUAGAGAGAGAGAAAAGAAAAAAUCCUAUAGAAUCUGGAGUCACGCUCACUCACACACAAAGUCUAGAGAAAGAAACCUAUGACAGCUAAGGGAAUGUGGCCUCAAGGAGACGAUCUAAGCCCCCUAUCUUCCUUUUUCUAUUGUUUCCUUUCCCUUUUUGGUUUCUCUAAUUCUCUCUUCUUUUUACACUUUUCAAUUUCCACUCGUUUACUGUUUUUUUUACCUCAAUUUGCUACAUUUGGGUUUUAAAAGUCGAGAUCGGCACCGAAAAGCUCCCCUAGUGUUGCUUUUGCUGGUCAGGACUUGCAUUUUCAAAAAAAUUUACGAUAAAUCUCUUGGGGUUUUGUGUGUGAAUUGUCCCUUCUGAUGUUUUAUUUUCAAACAUUGAACCCAAAACCCGCGAAUUUUUCAUCUGGGCCCCCUUUCUU